rnacentral:lncRNA from 1 species
CAGCGCCCCGCCCGCGGUCCCCUGCCCACACAGCCCUGCCCGUUACAUCUGUCCCGGGAGCACUGUAUCAGAUUUCUCAGGGUUCGCAAGCCCUCUCAUUCUGGGGACAAGCUAACUACCUUUUCCCUUUCUUCCCCUUCUUUUCCAGCUAAAGACAAAGAAGCUGAGGGAGGAAGAUCUAUAUUUUACUAUCUUUUCACUCAAUUAAAAGGGAGAGUGGCUUGCUUAAAAAAAGAUGAUGGUGGUUUUCCAGUGAAUGUGAAAAAUACUACUUGACUACAGAAAUAAGCUGUCCCGUCCGGAGCUUACCUACCGGGUCUCUAAACUUAGACGGUUGUUCUGUCUCAACAGCUCAGCUCGUCUGGGACAUACUUUACCUUAUUAGGCAAUCGGGCCCCGGCGAGAAGGGAAAGCAAAACAGGCCUCGGCUUUUACCUAAAAGGAGAACAGCAAAGACAUUACCCAGCGGGGGUGCAGACAGAACCCGCUGGGCGCCUGCCAGCAGAUGAAGGGGCUUCAGCAGGCUGGGUAACAAGGCAGAGUCCUGCCUGACGGAGGGGACAGCGCCCAGCAGAGCGCCAGGAGUAAGGCUGAGGAAACUCGAGCGAACAGGAGGGGAGGCUGCCACCUACUCCAAGCGAGUGGGGGUGGCGCGUGCGUCUGUGCAAGGAAAUGCAAGCAUCUCCUGCAGAGCAGCUGGGCUGCCGGGCCAGGCCUGCGCUCCUCUCGCCGUGACACUGCGUCAGACACGCGACGGGUGCAUACUCAGUUGCAGGGUCCACACACAGCUGUGCGCACUUCCCCUGGGGCUUCCUGUGAGCUCUAAGGGAGGCGCUCAGGGACCCCCGGAGCUCCAGGGGCUUGGACUCGGUGCUUUCACUGCUGGGACGCAUCCAAUCCCUGGCCAGGGCACCAAGGUCCUGCAAGCCGUGCAGUGUGGCCAAUAAAUAAGGAAAACAAGAAGUUUUAAAGCUCCCUUUGGUUCUAAAAUCCCAAGCCUAUGACUGUUGUUUUAGACUGACCAAAGCUCCAACUCACAAACCCAUAAGGACCACCGCACAGCACGCGGGGUAUGGCCAACAUUCCAUAACAACCGUGAGACUGUUAGAAGAGAGGAACUGUGUUGAGGAGCUGGCUGUCUGCAGGCGGUCUCAGACGCUGGCUCAGCUCUGCUUCCCUCUGCCUGGCCCGACUUUGCUGAGUGUUACUACGUCUUUGAGUGUUCUCUGUUUUCCUUAAGGAGGGGCUUUCUUUGGAAAACGUAUUUCUGGGAGCUCUUCUGUAUGGAACUCUGAUUUAGCCUGCGGAUGGCUAGAAUGGCACUUGUUCAGUUACUAAGUCGUGUCCACCUCUGUGUGACCCCAAGGACUGCAGCACACCAGGCUUCCUUGUCCAUGACAUUCCCAGCCGUCAAAGACCUAUAGAUGAGGUCGGAGACAGGCCGCGUCUCCUUCC